CUUACAACCUCUUGGGUGUAUCUUACAACCCCCCUUGUGUAUCUGUUACGUUCCCCAGCCCCUUUGUGUUUCUCUUUCUUACCCCCAGGGGCUGAGAUGGGUGGACAGGGGCACAUGGGCUGUAGAGAGGGGACAGGAGCUGGAGAGGGGGUGGACAGGGGCUGUGGUGAGGAUGGGGCACAGGGGCUGUGGCAGGAGGGGGGUGGACAGGGGCUGUGGUGAGGAUGGGGC